UAGAACAUCUGGGAAUGGGGCCCAGGAAUCAGCACUGAAUCAAGCACCAUAGGAUGAAGAAUUCAGACCCUCCGAAGGCAGCCCAGUUCAUUUUGCCCCUGGAACUCACUCUGUGGGUGGGGGAGGAGCAUGGUUCCGGUGGCUUCACCCCCCAGAUUUCUUCUGUCAUUGUCAAUUUGCCAAGGGAGUUUCUCUAUAAGGCCAUGAUGCAGGUUGGAGACAAGAGCUUCUUACUGCCUUUCAACUGGUCGAAGGGCCUGCUGCUCUUCUUCAUGGAACACCUAUUAUCGUCCAACAAUUUUUGAAACAUCCUUAGAGGCACAGACUUCUGCCAGGCCUGCAGACAGAGCUCAGGAUAAAGAGCCAAGGGUGUGGCCUGUCUCGAGGCCCAUAGAUGUGCGCUCUGCAGGUGGAAUGGCCGUCCGGUGCUUACUUUGACUGUCCUCGGGUCCCGAGUCUUCUGGUGGUUAACUGAGGAAACUGCUGCCUUAUGAUCGAGCAGAGGAUGAUAAUUGCUGUUGCCCAGGACAACCACACCAGUUCACAAGAAAUCCGUGAAGAGAGAGCAUCUCUCAAGGUGAAAACAUAACCAUGAGGCCCCUUUCCUUGGGGUUUACGGAGAUGAUGUUUGUGGAGAGGCAUGACAGGUCAGGGGUUACGUGCAAGAACUCUGGAACUCGACUACCUGAAUUGAAUGCAAGCUCAGGCAUUGGUUAGGCUGGAUGCCCUUGGGCAAGUUAUUUAGUAUCCACAUGACUCAGUUUCCCCAUUUGUAAAAUAGGAAUGAUAAUAACCUCUAGAGUUAUUGUGAAAUUUUAAAAAGUGAAUGUAUGUAAAUAGCUGGC
rnacentral:lncRNA from 1 species